GAAUCUGACUUUUGUAACCCAUGGUUAUUAUUGUUCAGUUGCUUUUCAGUUGUGUCUGACUCUUUGUGACCCAAUUUGUUUUUUUUUUUUUUUGGCAAAGAUACUGGAGUAGUUUGUCAUUUCCUUCCUGUGCUCAUUUUACAGACAAGGCAACUGAGGAGUCAUCUUGGUUGAGGAGUGGCAAUGGAACUGUGUAAAGUGAGAAUCCUAUUCCUGGUGGUCCAGGGUCUCAAGAGAUGCUUC
rnacentral:lncRNA from 1 species